CACGUCAGUUAUGGUAUCACGAAAGGGACAAACAGAUUUUCGUAGGUAUUCAGGUCCAUGUAUUGAUAAAAGCUUAUGAAACCUACAUUACUCCAUCAAUCAACAAUCAAACUAUCCAAGUGAAUAAGGAUAAAUAACAAGGUUGGCUUUGCGAUACUUGUGGACUACAUCUUUUAAAUAGUGCCACAUUUUCUCACUGGAACUGAGAUCAGGACUGGAACACUGUGAGGACAUUUUACUUUUAUAUACUUUACAGUAUAUAUCUUGCUUCUAUCAUAACAAGAUGCCCAGUCCCUGCUGAACAGACGCAUUCACACAGCAUGAUGUUGCUUCUAAAUGUAUUUUUUUUAAAGGUUUUGCCCCUUAAAAAAUCUGACAGAAUCUUUUUGUUCAUUUCUGCUGUUUGUCAUGCAAUCUUCCACCCACCAUACAGCACUAAGAUGCCAUGUUUAUCCUCUUCUAUAUAGCUUUUUUCUAUGAGCUCAAACGUGUCUAGGAGUGGCUACUGUUCUAAUGAUUGACAGGUAAGAGGAGACAUGGCGUUCCUUCCACCCUAAAAUGUUGCUCCAUUCAUUGGUUUCCAUUUAGAUUGAGUUAAAAUAUGUAGAAUAAGUUAUCCCAGCUUUCCUUCAGUAAGCACUUUAUGACUCUAAACAAGGAGUGAAUCUUGGUUUAGUCAAGUUACAAUAAAAAAUAUUAAUUGAAAGAUGAAUUUAUUUGCUUUACUUCAUUCUGUAAGUAAUACUAACCCACUAUCGCAAUUUAAAUAACUAAAAACAUUAGAUUGUUGUUAUUGCCAUAUUUCAAGUACCAUAUCCUUCCUGCAUUCAUAAAAACCUACAUAUCUUCACUCUAAAUAUAUAAGUUUUUACUUUGUAUAACUCCUGUAAUGUUUUCCAAAAGCACAGUAUAAUAAAUCCUCCAUUAUGGAGUCUCCAGUGUCAGUUCUUUAUUACAGUCUCUAUAAUAAAUAGAGGCUGUAGAGGAACCUGUUUAUAUUUGCAAACUCAUGUGAUAACUUGAACUGGCUAAUUUAUCUUACAUUAUUAAAUAGAAUAUUAAAGGAUAAAACAUACUGUGUGUUGUUUAAUUCAGAAAAUUUGCAAAUGGUACAGUAUGAGCAGAAUAUAAGUCUUUAGGAUGAGCUAUUAUGAUUCUGGAAAGGAUCAACCAGUUGUUGGUUAUUUGUCUGUAGCAGAAAACAUAUCAUACACGUUCGUUUUGUGGUUACACAUUAUGUAUAUACGUCAUUUCCUUUGAUAGAUAAUCUUUUUCAAGUGGCCAACAGCUGUUUUCGACAGUUGGUCCUUACCUAACACUUUCUACACAAACACGGCCACAGGCAAGAUAUAGCAGAAAAAAUACAUUACAUUAAAAGAAGAUCUGGAAAUGCUGGAUGAAUACAAAUGAUGCCCUUCAUGCUUUAUGAACAGUUUGUCCGAGUAAGAAAUAAUCUACUCUAUCCUUUUGUGUAGUUGUUAUAUUUUGGAAUAAAACACCUCCAUCUGCUGAUGGAAAUUCAGAGAAUCAGUCCAUUCUGCUUCCCAUGAGACACUUUUUUGUGUG